rnacentral:rRNA from 1 species
GAGUAAUCGGAUUCAGUACGAGAGGAACCAUCCGUUCACACAUUUGGUAUUGCGCUCGGCUGAAAAGCCGAUGGCGCGAAGCUACGUGUGACAUGCUAAUAGCUGAACGCCUCUAAGCUAGAAGCAGUCCUCGAUGGAGCACUACCUACCGGUCCGUCGUUAACCGACUACGUAUAGUUUUAUGAAUAGCAUUGCGACCGCAAUUUCGAACGGCCGGACCGAUACAUCCUUUGUAGACGACUUAAAUGCGCUGCUGGGUACUGUAA